rnacentral:tRNA from 1 species
GCCGGUUUAGCUAUGUUGGUAGAGCAUCAGACUUUUAAUUUGAGGGCCAUGGGUUCGAGUCCCAUAUCGGGCU